GGAGGGGAGAAAAUCCUGCAGACUGGGGGGGGGGGCUAGCUCUCCUCCUGCUCCCACUGGGAGAAACCCGUGUCUUUUUCUGAAUGGAAAGAGGUGGUCUCCGGCUUGCUUAAGAACAUGCUGGUGAUAUUCAUGGGAGACCUGCAAGAGGGCUGUUCCUUUCUUCCCCGUAUUGGAUGAGGAUCCUGGCCAAGAGGUUUUCCAGGGGCCCCCCGGAAGAGGCCGGAGCUCCCUUGGGGAGGAUCCCAAGACCCUGUUUGCAGCCCCCCAAAGCUUCUGACAAAUCAAACGUCUUUGUCUUCCUGGUGUGGCCUGGCCCUUCCUCGGUGGAUUCUCUGGCUUCAUCCCAAAACAAACAGCAUUUCUCUCCUGUGUUUGCAUAUCCUUCAUCCUGUCCUGUAUCCUGAGAUUUCAGGGAGGGAUGUCACCAGCAGAACACAUUGGGCCCAUGGAGACCAAUACGGGGAGACGGUGCCUCCAGCAGAAACCCACAGCCCGCCAGGUCUGAACCAGGGGCCGAGGGAAGAGCCAAGCCUGGAGCCCAUACAAGCUCAGCAUCAGCUUCCCUCAGGCCCUGUGAUCAUCCUCCUAAUUCAGAGGCAAAACUCCCUGCAGUGGCGUACAUCUCACCACAAGAACAAGUGUGUCUUCUCUGCAAUUGCUGGUCAGCCUGGGCUUUUUUUAGGAAGGGUGGAAUUCAGGCUGGCCCCCAGUUUCUCCUCCAGGUGUGAGAUGUUAAUGGGAAUGUUGUCCUCCCCACCUCUUCGCUUGUCUCCCCUUUCCAGACAUCAUCAUCGAGGUCCGGAUGGCUGGGAAGACAGGUGGCUGUGAGAUGAAGCUUCUAGAGGAUGUCUCCGAGCGCCUGGCCCAAGAGGGAGUCUCUCUAAAAGUGAGGAGGUUCACAGAGAGGUUGUCGGAGCACCUCCUUCUCGUUUUCUGCCCCAUCGCUUCUCGGAUGGUUACUGACAUUGAAAACGCCCUCGAGGGACUCAGUGGUGAGCAGAAGGUCCUCCUGGUGGUGAUGCACUUUGUUCAAAAGGACAACCCAGGGACCCCUGCGGACGCUGAGCACCAAGUGACCCAUCCGGCCGUGGUGGGGACCGUGCACACCCGCUACACCCUCAAGGACGGCUUCUACCCUUGUGAGAUGAACGAGGCGGCCGUGGCUGACGUGGCAGCUGCCCUCAAGGCCCUGGCUGAGGAUCAGUGA
rnacentral:lncRNA from 1 species